rnacentral:rRNA from 1 species
UACAUAGGGGGCAAGCGUUAUCCGGAAUUAUUGGGUGUAAAGGGUGCGUAGACGGAGAAACAAGUUGGUUGUGAAAUCCCUCGGCUCAACCGAGGAACUGCAACCAAAACUAUUUCCCUUGAGUGUCGGAGAGGAAAGUGGAAUUCCUAGUGCAGCGGUGAAAUGCGUAGAUAUUAGGAGGAACACCAGUGGCGAAGGCGACUUUCUGGACGAUAACUGACGUUGAGGCACGAAAGUGUGGGGAGCAAACAGG